CCUACGGGAGGCAGCAGUGGGGAAUCUUGGACAAUGGGCGCAAGCCUGAUCCAGCCAUGCCGCGUGAGUGAUGUAGGCCUUAGGGUCGUAAAGCUCUUUCGCCUGUGAUGAUAAUGACAGUAGCAGGUAAAGAAACCCCGGCAAACUCCGUGCCAGCAGCCGCGGUAAU
rnacentral:rRNA from 1 species